UACAGAGGUCCCAAGCGUUGUUCGGAUUCAUUGGGCGUAAAGGGUGCGUAGGCGGCGCGGUAAGUCGGGUGUGAAAUCUCGGGGCUUAACUCCGAAACUGCAUUCGAUACUGCCGUGCUUGAGGACUGGAGAGGAGACUGGAAUUUACGGUGUAGCGGUGAAAUGCGUAGAUAUCGUAAGGAAGACCAGUGGCGAAGGCGGGUCUCUGGACAGUUCCUGACGCUGAGGCACGAAGGCCCAGGGGAGCAAAACGGGG
rnacentral:rRNA from 1 species